GCGGCCGUAGCCAAACGGUAUCGGCGGGUGUUUUAGGGGCAUCUGGGAGAAAUCCUGUGUGGGUUCGAAUCCCACCGGCCGCA
rnacentral:tRNA from 1 species